GAGGCGAAAGUACGGCGUCGUCGUGUUUCUUGAUUGAAAGCACCUGGAGCACCUGUGUCGGUGGAGUGCAAAGAAGGCGUCGAACGGCAAGGUGGUGGAGCACGUGGUGUUAGUGCUAAGAUGUCAACGAAGAAGCACAAACAGCGUUAACGUUCCAGGUGAGUUUGUUUUUUCUUUUGUCUCUCUUUCUCUGUUCUUUAGAGCGGUCAGCGUUUAUUCGUUUGGAUGGUUAUUUUGUGCUUUGGUGAUGGUGUGUCGUACGUUGUGUGUAGCCGAAUGGUUUUAAAAAAAAUUUAACUAGUAGUAGUAGUCAGAGGUAGAAGUACGAGCCUCAUCGUGUUCGUUGAUUAAGAGCACCUGUGUCGGUGGAGUGCAAAGAAGGCAUGAACGGCAAGGUGGUGGAGCUUUGUUUUGUCGUGUGAGGCGAGUGAGCUUUGGUGAUGGUGAGUUGUACUUUGCGUGUACGGUGUGUCACAGUCGUUAGUAUUGCUAUCAACGGUAAGAAGCACAAGCAGCGUUAGCCUUCCAGGUGAGUGUUUUUUUUUUCUUCCCCUUUCUCCGUCUCUUCUUCAGAGUGCUCCGCGUUUAUUCGUUUGGAAAUGACUAUUUUGUGCUUUGGUGAUGGUGAGUUGUACGUUGUGUGUAGCCGAAUGGUUUUGUACGAUGCCAGGCAAGUGUUUUCUACCGCAUUUGUCGCCUACGAACGGGUGAGUGAUGUCGCUAGACUGAUUUUCGUGUGUGUGUUUGAAGUUGUCUGGAUGUGCUGAUAGAGCGGCGGCAGAUCGGCUUUGUCAUCCACAGUGGCAGGCUUUGGAAACGUAAUUGUUCAUAUUUGUGAAAUGUUUGCUGUCAUGGUGAACCGCUCCUCCUUCAUGAGAAGGACGGUGUCGGUCGAGUCGGCGGUAGAAGUAUUAGUCGGUGAAGUUGUAUUUUUUUUAAAUGUUUGUUGAAAUGUGUGGCCGUAUGGCAAUUUGUUUGACGUGAGUGUAAGUUGCUCAAGAAACCAGUACUUUGUCUUUGAAAUGUGUUGUUUAUGAAGAGUAGCGUUAGCUCCUGGGUGAAGGUUUUCUUUCUGCCUUUUCAGCUCCAGGACCAACUGACGUGGAGAACGCAGAGAGGACGGGCUACCCGAAGAUGGAGUUCAUUUCUGUUUCCGAAAGACUUUGAAGCCCAAAGGACAGCAGAACUUUAUUUAUGUUUUCAGACAGUGCUUUGUGAAGUGUUUAAAAAAUACUUGUAAAUAUUGAAGUGUUUGCUGUAUAUUUUUGUCAAAGAUUAAAGUGUUUGGUCAUUCUUAAAA